GAUGAACGCUAGCGAUAGGCCUAACACAUGCAAGUCGAGGGGCAUCACAUGAAGUAGCAAUACGGAUGGUGGCGACCGGCGCACGGGUGAGUAACACGUAUGCAACCUGCCUUCAACAAGGGGAUAACCCGUUGAAAGACGGACUAAUACCCUAUAACACAGGGGUCCCGCAUGGGAAUAUUUGUUAAAGGACAACCGGUUGAAGAUGGGCAUGCGUUCCAUUAGCUAGUUGGCGGGGUAAGGCCCACCAAGGCAACGAUGGAUAGGGGAACUGAGAGGUUUAUCCCCCACACUGGUACUGAGACACGGACCAGACUCCUACGGGAGCAGCAGUGAGGAAUAUUGGUCAAUGGACGCAAGUCUGAACCAGCCACGUCGCGUGAAGGAAGACGGCCCUACGGAUUGUAAACUUCUUUUGCAAGGGAAUAAAGUGGGCCACGUGUGGCCUUUUGCAAGUACCUUGCGAAUAAGGAUCGGCUAACUCCGUGCCAGCAGCCGCGGUAAAUCACACU
rnacentral:rRNA from 1 species